CUCAUAGUCUGAGAGAACACAGUAUGGAGAGAGUACUCAUAGACUGAGAGAGCACAGUAUGGAGAGAGUACUCAGACUGAGAGAAUACGGUAUGGAGAGAGUAGUCAUAGACUGAGAGAACACAGUAUGGAGAGAGUACUCAUAGACUGAGAGCAUAGUAUGGAGAGAGUACUCAUAGACUGAGAGAACACAGUAUGGAGAGAGGAC